rnacentral:rRNA from 1 species
GAUGAACGCUGGCGGCGUGCUUAACACAUGCAAGUCGAACGAAGCACUUUAUUUGAUUUCCUUCGGGACUGAUUAUUUUGUGACUGAGUGGCAGACGGGUGAGUAACGCGUGGGUAACCUGCCUUGUACAGGGGGAUAACAGUUGGAAACGGCUGCUAAUACCGCAUAAGCGCACAGCAUCGCAUGAUGCAGUGUGAAAAACUCCGGUGGUAUAAGAUGGACCCGCGUUGGAUUAGCUAGUUGGUGAGGUAACGGCCCACCAAGGCGACGAUCCAUAGCCGACGUGAGAGGGUGACCGGCCACAUUGGGACUGAGACACGGCCCAAACUCCUACGGGAGGCAGCAGUGGGGAAUAUUGCACAAUGGGCGAAAGCCUGAUGCAGCGACGCCGCGUGAGCGAAGAAGUAUUUCGGUAUGUAAAGCUCUAUCAGCAGGGAAGAUAAUGACGGUACCUGACGAAGAAGCACCGGCUAAAUACGUG